rnacentral:rRNA from 1 species
UACGGGGGGGGCAAGCGUUGUUCGGAAUUACUGGGCGUAAAGGGUUCGUAGGUGGCCAAUUAAGUCAGACGUGAAAUCCCUCAGCUUAACUGGGGAACUGCGUCUGAGACUGGAUGGCUUGAGUGCAGGAGAGGAACGCGGAAUUCCAGGUGUAGUGGUGAAAUGCGUAGAGAUCCGGAGGAACACCAGUGGCGAAGGCGACACGCUGGGUCAUACCUGACGCUAAAACGCGACAGCAUGGGGAGCGAACGGG